rnacentral:rRNA from 1 species
AACGCGAAGAACCUUACCAGGGCUUGACAUCCCUCUGACCGGCCGGUAAUGCGGCUUUCCCUUCGGGGCAGAGGUGACAGGUGGUGCAUGGUUGUCGUCAGCUCGUGUCGUGAGAUGUUGGGUUAAGUCCCGCAACGAGCGCAACCCUUGUCAUUAGUUGCCAUCAUUUGGUUGGGCACUCUAAUGAGACUGCCGGGGACAACUCGGAGGAAGGUGGGGAUGACGUCAAAUCAUCAUGCCCCUUAUGUUCUGGGCUACACACGUGCUACAAUGGCCGGUACAGAGAGAAGCAAUACUGUGAAGUGGAGCAAAACUCUAAAACCGGUCCCAGUUCGGAUUGCAGGCUGCAACUCGCCUGCAUGAAGUCGGAGUUGCUAGUAAUCGCGAAUCAGAACGUCGCGGUGAAUGCGUUCCCGGGUCUUGUACACACCG